GACGAACGCUGGCGGCGUGCUUAACACAUGCAAGUCGAGCGGUAAGGCCUUUCGGGGUACACGAGCGGCGAACGGGUGAGUAACACGUGGGUGACCUGCCUUUAGCUUCGGGAUAAGCCUGGGAAACUGGGUCUAAUACCGGAUAUGACCUCAUGUCGCAUGGUGUGGGGUGGAAAGUUUUUCGGCUAGAGAUGGGCCCGCGGCCUAUCAGCUUGUUGGUGGGGUGAUGGCCUACCAAGGCGACGACGGGUAGCCGGCCUGAGAGGGCGGCCGGCCACACUGGGACUGAGAUACGGCCCAGACUCCCACGGGAGGCAGCAGUGGGGAAUAUUGCGCAAUGGGCGGAAGCCUGACGCAGCGACGCCGCGUGGGGGAU
rnacentral:rRNA from 1 species